rnacentral:rRNA from 1 species
GAUGAACGCUAGCGGCAGGCUUAACACAUGCAAGUCGAGGGGUAGGAGAAGCUUGCUUUUCUGAGACCGGCGCACGGGUGCGUAACGCGUAUGCAAUCUACCUUUCACAGAGGGAUAGCCCAGAGAAAUUUGGAUUAAUACCUCAUAGUAUAAUUGAAUGGCAUCAUUUAAUUAUUAAAGAUUUAUCGGUGAAAGAUGAGCAUGCGUCCCAUUAGCUAGUUGGUAUGGUAACGGCAUACCAAGGCAACGAUGGGUAGGGGUCCUGAGAGGGAGAUCCCCCACACUGGUACUGAGACACGGACCAGACUCCUACGGGAGGCAGCAGUGAGGAAUAUUGGACAAUGGGCGCAAGCCUGAUCCAGCCAUGCCGCGUGCAGGAUGACGGUCCUAUGGAUUGUAAACUGCUUUUAUACAGGAAGAAACACUCCUUCGUGAGGGAGCUUGACGGUACUGUAAGAAUAAGGAUCGGCUAACUCCGUGCCAGCAGCCGCGGUAAUACGGAGGGUCCAAGCGUUAUCCGGAAUCAUUGGGUUUAAAGGGUCCGUAGGCGGUCAGGUAAGUCAGUGGUGAAAGCCCAUCGCUCAACGGUGGAACGGCCAUUGAUACUGUCUGACUUGAAUUAUUAGGAAGUAACUAGAAUAUGUAGUGUAGCGGUGAAAUGCUUAGAGAUUACAUGGAAUACCAAUUGCGAAGGCAGGUUACUACUAAUUGAUUGACGCUGAUGGACGAAAGCGUGGGUAGCGAACAGGAUUAGAUACCCUGGUAGUCCACGCCGUAAACGAUGGAUACUAGCUGUUGGGAGCAAUCUCAGUGGCUAAGCGAAAGUGAUAAGUAUCCCACCUGGGGAGUACGAACGCAAGUUUGAAACUCAAAGGAAUUGACGGGGGCCCGCACAAGCGGUGGAGCAUGUGGUUUAAUUCGAUGAUCCGCGAGGAACCUUACCAAGGCUUAAAUGUAGAUUGACCGUUUGGAAACAGAACU